GUAAGUAGGGUGACUUUGUUACCUUUUAACACUCUUCUUCUCUCCAAAUAAAAGAGGCGGAUGAAUUUCACGUUUUCAUCUUUUUCUCCUUCCUUUUUGUUGUGGUCGGAUCACUGCCCACAAUUACUAGACUACAUCUGUCAUCUACAAAUUGAUCCAAAGUUUCACCACUUGUGCCUCUUACACUCUAGAUGGAUUCAAGAAUUCUCAAUUCCACUGAUUCUUAGCCGAGCUCCAUAGAUGUGAGACAAAUCAAACACCAAAAUCAAUUUUCUUUUUAAAUUCAUAUUGUUCAGGUCAUCUUCAUACCACACAACUUACAUAUAGACAUAUAGGUCUCUUCAAUAUCUAAUAUUGAUAUAAAUUUCAUGCUGAUUUUCUUGUGAGAAGUUUCACAGCGAACCUAUCACCGCUCAUUGCCACCAGUCAUCCAUCCGUCAACCUCAAAAUGGCCCCUAAAUUUACCGCUCUUCCUCUCACCAUCUUUUACAUUGACCCACAAAUAAUUUCCUUUUAAUCUUAACCAAAUACCAUAGAUCUGUCACUUUCUUUCUACGAUUCAAAAGUUUAAGUCAUCUUUAUCCCACACAACGUGCAUAGGUCAAAAUCCCGACUGUGCUCACUAUUGAGAUUUGGAUAGAGAGUCAAAGAUUCGAAGAUUACAUCAAAAAUCAACUUUACCUAAAAUAUUUUCUCCAACACAAUUUUGUCCAAUCAUCAAGUGUAUUCUGCGGAGCAAAUACACCACCUAUAAAGGAUAUGACUUGGAUUAAGAGCUCUCUAACUCUGCAUCACUUUGCUUUGCAGAUUAUCAUACUAUAUUCACACAUCAUAGGAGGGACAAAACUUUAAAGUGUUUACUUGAUUUACUAACGACUUGUUAUUACCCAUAUGAACCUCAUGGAAUCUCUAAUCUCAUAUGUUGGGUUACCAUCAUUGUUGAUCUUCUCAAAUGACUAAAGGCUAGUAUCAAGCCAAUAUUCAUAAAAAAGGGAUGACUCAUGUUCAAUAGAGCUUCGGAGGCUUGAUUCAAGGGUUUUGAGGAUAUUGAGUUGCUUGCAAGGGUAGAGUUUCCAAGGCUUUCAAAAGGUGAACAUUGGUGAGUUGAUGACACCACCACUAUGAUGUCUUUAUGUUCUUUUCUAUGUUAGACUUUUUAUGGGUUCUGGGCAAAGACUAUUGUACUCAUGAUGUAAUAAAUUGUUGUUGAGACAUAUCUUAGAAGUUUUAUGAAAUAAUUCCGCAGUAUGUUUUGAAA